rnacentral:rRNA from 1 species
GAUGAACGCUGGCGGCGUGCCUAAUACAUGCAAGUCGAGCGAACAGACGAGGAGCUUGCUCCUCUGACGUUAGCGGCGGACGGGUGAGUAACACGUGGAUAACCUACCUAUAAGACUGGGAUAACUUCGGGAAACCGGAGCUAAUACCGGAUAAUAUAUUGAACCGCAUGGUUCAAUAGUGAAAGACGGUUUUGCUGUCACUUAUAGAUGGAUCCGUGCCGCAUUAGCUAGUUGGUAAGGUAACGGCUUACCAAGGCGACGAUGCGUAGCCGACCUGAGAGGGUGAUCGGCCACACUGGAACUGAGACACGGUCCAGACUCCUACGGGAGGCAGCAGUAGGGAAUCUUCCGCAAUGGGCGAAAGCCUGACGGAGCAACGCCGCGUGAGUGAUGAAGGUCUUCGGAUCGUAAAACUCUGUUAUUAGGGAAGAACAAAUGUGUAAGUAACUAUGCACGUCUUGACGGUACCUAAUCAGAAAGCCACGGCUAACUACGUG